UUGGAGCUGUGACUACUGGAGCAAUGAAGGACUUGACAGACACUGUGAAAGUUGAUCAAGACUGGUAUCGAUUCUUCGAGAGUCCCGGUGCUGAUAUACUCGCAAGAAGCAGUCGUGUUUGGGACAGCUUUCUACACCUCUGUGCCGGCAGAUUUGUAAGAUUGGAAGUUGUUUCAGUGUGGAGAGAGAUGGACACGGUGUAUUGUUGGGUAAAACUUGCCCUUUGAUGUCACGGGUAGUUCUCAUUAAAGGGACACAUCUGCAAAUAAAGCUAGAGAUUUGCAAUGUGGCAUUGGAGCUGUGACUACUGGAGCAAUGAAGGACUUGGCAGACACUGUGAAAGUUGAUCAAGACUGGUAUCGAUUCUUCGAGAGUCCCGGUGCUGAUAUACUCGCAAGAAGCAGUCGUGUUUGGGACAGCUUUCUACACCUCUGUGCCGGCAGAUUUGUAAGAUUGGAAGUUGUUUCAGUGUGGAGAGAGAUGGACACGGUGUAUUGUUGGGUAAAACUUGCCCUUGGAUGUCACGGGUAGUUCUCAUUAAAGUAAACCGUUGAACAAUGAAUGCUAGAUUAGUGUACAACGUUGUGAUGGUGGAUAAUGUCGAAAUGUGGAUGGUUGUGUAACAUUGGUAAAAAGUUUGUGUUGGGAAGUUGCGUGAUGGAGCAUUGGUAAAUUGUAAAUGGCAUAGUUAUUCUGGAAACAGGCUAGCAUCCAGGAAGAAAUAAAGUAUUUAUGUUAUUUAAUAUUUCAAUAAGUAAAAAUAUAUUGAAAUGGUUUAUUCUAUAAAUAAAUGAUAAUUUCAAUGAGAAGGUAUAUCUUACAGAUGAUAGGAAUUGUCAAAAAUUGGUUGUCUUGUUAGCUGGCAGAUGGAAGUUUAAUGGUUCUACUCCAGUACAACCCCUUGCCUGAAACAUUGCACUUAGAUGCACAUCUUCAUGUACCAAAAGAGCUUGAGUGUCGCCAUAUGACUCAAAAACCAACAAAUUAAUUGAAAUAUGUUGAUUUAGAAAAGUAAAUAUUUACAUUUUGAGAUAAUUGUCACCGGCCUUUGUCUAUAACAUAUAUUGUUCUUAGGGACACAUCUGCAAAUAAAGCUAGAGAUUUGCAAUGUGGCAUUGGAGCUGUGACUACUGGAGCAAUGAAGGACUUGGCAGACACUGUGAAAGUUGAUCAAGACUGGUAUCGAUUCUUCGAGAGUCCCGGUGCUGAUAUACUCGCAAGAAGCAGUCGUGUUUGGGACAGCUUUCUACACCUCUGUGCCGGCAGAUUUGUAAGAUUGGAAGUUGUUUCAGUGUGGAGAGAGAUGGACACGGUGUAUUGUUGGGUAAAACUUGCCCUUUGAUGUCACGGGUAGUUCUCAUUAAAGGUAAUGAGUCAUGGCUAUGUUCAUGAAAGAGGGUUAGAAAUCCCUGUCAUUUCAAAUAAAUAUGUCGUAAUAAUUACUGCUAUUUUCAUUUUGUAUAAUGGGCUAGACAUUUGCUUGGUAGUGUACCUACACUUGUUAGAAACAAUGCAUAUUACGACAAUUUUUCACUGACCAAUUUGCUUGAAUGUCGCCAUAUGACUUAAAAAGAAAUAAAGAUAAUUUGUAACUAGUUAAUUUUUUCAAAAGAUUUAUAAUAGUAUAUUUUCACAUUUUGCGAUUUGCAUGUUGUUCUGUUAACCCUAGUUACCUUUUAGUAAACCGUUGAACAAUGAAUGCUAGAUUAGUGUACAACGUUGUGAUGGUGGAUAAUGUCGAAAUGUGGAUGGUUGUGUAACAUUGGUAAAAAGUUUGUGUUGGGAAGUUGCAUGAUGGAGCAUUGGUAAAUUGUAAAUGGCAUAGUUAUUCUGGAAACAGGCUAGCAUCCAGGAAGAAAUAAAGUAUUUAUGUUAUUUAAUAUUUCAAUAAGUAGAAAUAUAUUGAAAUGGUUUAUUCUAUAAAUAAAUGAUAAUUUCAAUGAGAAGGUAUAUCUUACAGAUGAUAGGAAUUGUCAAAAAUUGGUUGUCUUGUUAGCUGGCAGAUGGAAGUUUAAUGGUUCUACUCCAGUACAACCCCUUGCCUGAAACAUUGCACUUAGAUGCACAUCUUCAUGUACCAAAAGAGCUUGAGUGUCGCCAUAUGACUCAAAAACCAACAAAUUAAUUGAAAUAUGUUGAUUAAGAAAAGUAAAUAUUUACAUUUUGAGAUAAUUGUCACUGGCCUUUGUCUAUAACAUAUAUUGUUCUUAGGGACACAUCUGCAAAUAAAGCUGGAGACUUGCAAUAGGCACUGGAGCUGUGACUACUGGAGCAAUGAAGGACUUGGCAGACACUGUGAAAGUUGAUCAAGACUGGUAUCGAUUCUUCGAGAGUCCCGGUGCUGAUAUACUCGCAAGAAGCAGUCGUGUUUUGGACAGCUUUCUACACCUCUGUGCCGGCAGAUUUGUAAGAUUGGAAGUUGUUUCAGUGUGGAGAGAGAUGGACACGGUGUAUUGUUGGGUAAAACUUGCCCUUUGAUGUCACGGGUAGUUCUCAUUUAAGGUAAUGAGUCAUGGCUAUGUUCAUAAAAGAGGGUUAGAAAUCCCUGUCAUUUCAAAUAAAUAUGUCGUAAUAAUUACUGCUAUUUUCAUUUUGUAUAAUUGGCUAGACAUUUGCUUGGUAGUGUACCUACA